rnacentral:rRNA from 1 species
AGAUUGAACGCUAGCGGGAUGCUUUACACAUGCAAGUCGAACGGCAGCGCGGACUUCGGUCUGGCGGCGAGUGGCGAACGGGUGAGUAAUAUAUCGGAACGUGCCCAGUAGCGGGGGGAUAACUACGCGAAAGCGUGGCUAAUACCGCAUACGCCCUACGGGGGAAAGGGGGGGAUUCUUCGGAACCUCUCACUAUUGGAGCGGCCGAUAUCAGAUUAGCUAGUUGGUGAGGUAAAAGGCUCACCAAGGCGACGAAGUCUGUAGCUGGUUUGAGAGGACGACCAGCCACACUGGGACUGAGACACGGCCCAGACUCCUACGGGAGCAGCAGUGGGGAAUUUGGACAAGUGGGGGAAACCCUGAGUCCAAGCCAUCCCGACGUGUGCGAUGAAGGGCCUGGGUUGUAAGACUACGUUUGUACGUAGGAA